UGUGGUUUAAUUCCAUGCAAAGCGAAGCCUUACCAGGGCUUGACAUGCCGCGAAUCCUCUUGAAAGAGAGGGGUGCCUUUGGGAACGCGGACACAGGUGGUGCAUGGCUACAAGUUAUUCUACUUCUAAGAGCUUCUUCAAAGUUAUGGCUAUCAUG
rnacentral:rRNA from 1 species